rnacentral:rRNA from 1 species
AUUGAACGCUGGCGGAAUGCUUUACACAUGCAAGUCGAACGGCAGCACGGACUUCGGUCUGGUGGCGAGUGGCGAACGGGUGAGUAAUACAUCGGAACGUGCCCAGUCGUGGGGGAUAACGUAGCGAAAGCUACGCUAAUACCGCAUACGAUCUAAGGAUGAAAGCGGGGGAUCGCAAGACCUCGCGCGAUUGGAGCGGCCGAUGGCAGAUUAGGUAGUUGGUGGGGUAAAGGCUCACCAAGCCGACGAUCUGUAGCUGGUCUGAGAGGACGACCAGUCACACUGGGACUGAGACACGGCCCAGACUCCUACGGGAGGCAGCAGUGGGGAAUUUUGGACAAUGGGCGCAAGCCUGAUCCAGCCAUUCCGCGUGCAGGAUGAAGGCCCCCGGGUUGUAAACUGCUUUUGUACGGAACGAGAAGGCUCUGGUUAAUACCCGGGGCUCAUGACGGUACCGUAAGAAUAAGCACCGGCUAACUACGUGCCAGCCGCCGCAGUAAGAC